CCUUCCGGGACAUUGGGCAACGUCUGGAGAGAUUUGUGAUCGACACAAGAGUGACGGGGACCACUACUGGCAUCUAGUGGGUAGAGUCCACAACAGCAGCCUCUGGCCACGACGGGAGAGAGGGACUCAAUGCCAGACAGUGACUGCCCGGACCAGGGGUGAAGGCUACCAGGUUCACACCAGGGUCCAUCGGCGAUGCCCGCCACGGGAGCUGUGCCAUCCACCGUCUGUUCUGAACAAAGUUCGUUUCUCCUUCUUUGGGCAAAAGGCAGGGCUGAGAGAGAGGACAGUGGUCAUGACUCCACGGUUUACCGAGAGGCUCCACGAAGCACACGCAUAGGGUUAAAGCACGCUGGAAGCUGGGCUGCACAAACCUUGAGCUAUCCACCAUACGAACUGCCCAGAAACUCCCAUCCCCGCAGAUUCCAGUGCAAAUAACAGAAACGGGAAGCAGUCACGGGUCAAGACGAGGCAGGGUGAACUGUGCGUGCUAUGUCUCUGCAGCCGUGCCCGACGCUCACAGAAGGCAGACCCCAGAAGACACACAACCCCACGGGGCCGGGCGUUCAGG